ACGAACGCUGGCGGCGUGCCUAAUACAUGCAAGUCGAGCGGAAUGAUGAAGAAGCUUGCUUCUUCUGAUUUUAGCGGCGGACGGGUGAGUAACACGUGGGCAACCUACCUUGUAGAUUGGGAUAACUCCGGGAAACCGGGGCUAAUACCGAAUAAUCCAUUUUGCUUCAUGGCGAGAUGUUGAAAGACGGUUUCGGCUGUCACUACAAGAUGGGCCCGCGGCGCAUUAGCUAGUUGGUAGGGUAAUGGCCUACCAAGGCGACGAUGCGUAGCCGACCUGAGAGGGUGAUCGGCCACACCUGGGACUGAGACACGGCCCAGACUCCUACGGGAGGCAGCAGUAGGGAAUCUUCCACAAUGGACGAAAGUCUGAUGGAGCAACGCCGCGUGAGUGAAGAAGGUUUUCGGAUCGUAAAACUCUGUUGUAAGGGAAGAACACGUACGAGAGUAACUGCUCGUACCUUGACGGUACCUUAUUAGAAAGCCACGGCUAACUACGUG
rnacentral:rRNA from 1 species